AGUCCUGUUCAAGCGUAGGAGAGAGGUCCCAUAGCAGGGAAGUGGAAGAGCGAAAUAUUUCUAUUUUAAUGUGGGUUGAUGCUGGUUGGUUCUCUCAGGUCUUAGGACAGGAAAAGCAGCAUGCUCUGAGUAUGAGACCCAAGAUGAGAUAUGAAGGUCAUGGUUCAGAAAAGCCCAGGGUUUAAUGAAUAAGUAAUACUGCUUUUGUAUAGUGGUUCCUAACAUGUUUCUUGGUCAUAGACCCUUUGAGGUAUCUGAAGAAAGUUGUGGAUUCUAUUCCAAGAAAAAUGCACAUACACACAAAAUUUGGUGUGCUAUUUCAGGAGUCCAUUGAUGUUCUGCCUUCCCCCGAAGCCCAUCCUGAAUCCUUGUUUAGGGCAGUAGUCUUCACAGUAGGGGGACGGAAUGUGCACGCCCUCUAAGACUGGCACAGUUAGAGGUGGCUGACCUUCAUAGGACCAAGGGUCAGGAAAUGUUGUGAGGAGGGUCCCUUGGGCCUGGUGAUUAGUCUCUAAAGAGAGGGCUGGUGUGCCAGGGUCAAGCCUUCGGUACUUUGCCCAGGCCCCGGGAACACUCACAGUGGACCUCCUGCUUGGUAAGUACCAGACUGUUCUAAUACGUGGCUUCCAGAGAAGAAGCCUCUGGCCAGACACAGAGCGUUUGAAAGUGAAAUUAGAUCUCUGGCAAAAGCUGACCAGCUAAACCCAAAUGCCACUAUUACUGCAUGAAGCUAAGGUUAAUUUUCUGAGAUUCCCUCUCAUUAAUUAAUAGUGUCCUCCGCUAUCCUCACAGGACACUUGGUUUAAAAUUGUGUUCACACAUUAUUUUAUUCUCUCUCUGCAACUAAACUGUGAAAUCCCUGAGGAUGCCGCUGCUUGGUAUGUAUGGCCUCGUGCACCCCUUUCUGAUGCCCCCCAGUGUGGCUGGGUCACUGUAAGUGAUGACUCUUAGGUUAGGGUUUUCUUCUCUUUCAGAAGAUGAAUGGGUGGGAGGUGGACCACUGUUUCCCCGGAGAUGGCUACUUCUCAGCCAGGAUUGUUUUCCCUUGUUGGCUGCUUAUUUCUUUUCAUAAUAUUUUAAGGCUAAAUUUGUUGUAAAUGAUAAAGGUGAUACAGUUAUAUCAUAGCAAAUCUGGAAAAUUCAGGCAUAAAAGUCAUUCCUAUCAUUACUCCGUGAAUGUGCCUACUCCUAGCAUUUUUACACGCAUGUUUGAUAUAUUUCUAAUGACAGUGUACUUGAAAAUGAUAUUUUAAAGAUUGUAAUAUUCCGUUCUAAGCAUUUUUUGUUGUUUAACUACCCUCAUAAAUGUUAUUGGGUUAUCAACACUUAUUUCACUGUUUUCCCAUUGCUUUCUAUUAGAUAUACCAUUAUUCAUUCCUCAUUAGUAUUUAUUGGCUAUACCAUCAUUUAUUUCGUCAUUACUAUUUUAUCAGAUAUACCCUUAUUUAUUGAACUAUUUUUCUGUAGUCCCAACUGAUGACUAAAUGGUUAUUAAUGACUCUUGGCUUAAGAAAUCUGCCUGUUUGGAUUCAGUUUGACAAAGAACAUUAUUAUUAUUAUCAUCUAACGUAGUGUUUGGCUCAUAGCUGGUACUCAGGAAAUGGCUUCUUCCUUCUUCGCUUUCACCCUUUACGCUAACUUUCUUGGAUUGUGACCUGAGGGCAAGGCAUGUUGAAGGAUGCCUUCAACAGAGAUGUCUAACUGGUUAUCAUGUAAGCUUGCCCUGGCCAUUUUAAUUACUAAUUUGUAAGGAGUACUCAUAUUCUGAUAUACAGGGGUUUGGUUUUCUUUGUAUCAUUUGGUCAGCUAUAUUGGUUCAUUCUUGCCGGAUACAAAAUGUUAGAGCCACAAACGGUUGUGGAGAUCACUGGGUACAGUGGCUUCUUGAUGGAUGUACCUCAGAAUUUUGCAGGGUUCUUAGGAAUACUGAUUCCCUACUAAAUCUUAAUUUGGUGGCUGAGGACUGGGAAUCUGCAUUCUAAUAAGCAUCCCUGUGUUCAGAGUCAGGUAGCGGGAAGGACCAUAAUUGGAAGUUACCGUUUGGGUAAUAGACUAUGCUAACUUUUUAGACUUGAUGUUAGAUUUUCAUCAUGUUCAGUCUUUUGCUUUUAAAACUAAUUGAAUCUUGAGAUGACUUAUUUCAGGAGGCAAAUAUUACAAUCCCAAUUAUGUUCUGCAACAGGAAAUAAGCUCUAAAUGAAUCUUAACAUUUUACUUGACACAUCACUCUGUUUAAGUGUAUUAAAGAUGUCAUUGAAAGGUGCAGAGGAGGAAAAUGAACUUGAUUUGGCAGGUAGGUGUUCAUGGUACUAUUAUCCACAACUGUCUGUGCUGAUUGACAGCACACACAUUACCUCCUCACACGCAUUGUACUCAGUUGCAUCAGAUUUAAGUGUAUGGCAUUUUUACUGAAUAUUUGAAACUGUUUUAGUUAAUAGUAUUAAUUGUGCAUAGACCAACUUUCAGCCACUGCUUCAAAGUACUUAAUAGACAAUAAACCAGAAGGUUCUGUGGAUCUCUGCUUAGAGUAAACUUAGGUCUACAAUACCAUUUGUUGAAGUAUUAUGUAUUUUGAGCAGGGCAAGUGUUUAUAGUUCAGAGAAGGAAUCUUCCCCGUAUUAGAUAUGGAAGUUGAGGGGCAGAAAGGUGAAACGCUCAAGGUCCCUUGACCGCAAGAAGCAGAGUCAGAAUUGGGGCUCAGAUCUCCUGGGUCCUUGUUCUCUGCUCUUUCUAUUAUACCACACUGCCCUUUUUGCAUAGUUUCUAUCUAAUGAGAAACAGUCUAACGGCUGGUAGAGAUGCUAUAAUCCAUACUUAUAUUGCAAAGAGCAUCAAAGCAAGGAAUUCUACUCAGCAUUUUCUUUUGGAAAACCAAACAUGCUUUAUUUCAUUUUUUUCACAAUUUAUUUAAACAUCUCACAUAUACAAAAUAGGUACAAUUUAAUCUUUCUGCUUGUCCGAGAAACAAGGCUUCUUUUUGGUACCAUGGGAGAGGAUGAAAAUGAGACUGGCAAAGAACAAAUGCUGAAUUUAAAGAAGAGGAUGAGGUUGGGCAAGCAAUCUGCAUACUUUUAUUUGGGAAGAAGAUGUAAAAUACUGAUGCUAAAUCAAAUGAAGAAAGAACACACACCGCAACCCAUUACAGAGGAGUCUUUCUUCUCAGAGUCCUCUAGCACCAUCAACAGUCUUCAAGUAUCUGAAAUACUGGUAGCACCUUUGUAUUUGGAACAAAACAAAACAAGUACCUCAGCUCAUCUCCGUCUAGGUCAGCACCUAAUGGUGUGGAUCACACUCAUAGGAAAGUGUUUUGAGGUAGUUUUAAACCUUUGGAAGUCUGGGUUUUAAACUUCCCUCUGUGGAAGAUAUUCAAAAGCCACAAGUGGUGCAAAUUGUUCAUGGUUUUUAUUUUAUUUUUCAAUUUUUAUUUUGGUUUUCUUACAAAGGUUGACAUUUUCCACAACAGGUGUAAGAGUGUUGAAAAAAGUUCCAAAUCUUUGGGGGGAAGGGAGGGAAUGAAUGAAAUCGUAUUGCACUAUGCUCUGAUCAAUCCUUCUCCUUCUCUUUUGCCCACAAUUUAAGCAAAUAGAUGUGCAGGGGAAAUGAAAUGGAAGGACUCAGCUCUCAGUUAAAAAAGAAGAAAAAGAAA